GACGAACCGAGCGAACGUUAUUCGGAAUCACUGGGCUUAAAGGGCGCGUAGGCGGGCGGUCAAGUCCGGGGUGGAAGCCCCCAGCUCAACUGGGGAAGUGCCUCGGAUACUGGUCGCCUCGAGGGAGAUAGGGGCGUGCGGAACUUCCGGUGGAGCGGUGAAAUGCGUAGAUAUCGGAAGGAACACCGGUGGCGAAAGCGGCGCGCUGGAUCUCUUCUGACGCUGAGGCGCGAAAGCCAGGGGAGCGAACGGG
rnacentral:rRNA from 1 species